ACAUAAGGAAAUGUCAACUCUAGCUUAACGUUUAAAAAGUCUAUGGUAAUUUUUAAACUAAGAAGUUGUAAACAAACAAGAAUAGAACAAUGAAUAAAAAAUAAAGAUAAAAAAAAAGAUAUAGUAGAAAUAUAAAUUUAUUUCUGUAUAAAGAGUGUAUUUAUUUAUUCUUUUAGAAAUUAUAAAAAUAGAAAUUUAAAGUGUUUUUUAAAUAAAAAAAAAAUGGAUCAAAUGUUACCUAGUCCUGGAUUUAGCAUUCCAAGUAUAGGCACACCUUUACAUCAACCAGAAGAGGACCAACAAAUCUUACCUAAUGCGUUACAACAGCAGCAACAACAGCAGCAACAACAACAACAACAAUCACAGCAGCAGCAACAAUCACAACAACAAUAUCAAUUACAACAACUACAUACUAUGAGUCCAAACAUACAAAGUGGUAUGCUGAUGAUCGGAACACCACAAAAAAAUAUGCAUGCCUAUGCAACAACACCUACUUUUGCAACGCCACAAAGUCUUAUGCAACCUCAAACACCGCAAAAUAUGAUGUCUCCAUUAGUACAAAAUACUAAUCAUAUAGCUCCUCCAUCUAUAGGACCAUCUACACCUGGUCCUAUGACACCUAUGACACCGGCUUCUGCAGAUCCAGGAAUAUUACCUCAACUUCAGAAUAUUGUUUCUACAGUUAAUUUAAAUUGCAAAUUAGAUUUAAAAAAAAUAGCUCUUCAUGCUAGAAAUGCAGAAUAUAAUCCAAAGAGAUUUGCUGCAGUUAUUAUGAGGAUAAGAGAACCAAGAACUACUGCAUUAAUAUUUAGUAGUGGAAAAAUGGUUUGUACUGGAGCAAAAAGUGAAGAGGAUUCUCGAUUGGCAGCAAGAAAGUAUGCUAGAAUUAUUCAGAAACUUGGUUUCCCUGCAAAAUUUCUUGAUUUCAAAAUACAAAAUAUGGUAGGCAGCUGUGAUGUGAAAUUUCCAAUUAGAUUAGAAGGUUUAGUACUUACACAUGGACAAUUCUCUUCAUAUGAACCUGAACUUUUCCCUGGAUUAAUAUAUCGUAUGGUUAAACCUAGAAUCGUUUUACUUAUAUUUGUUUCAGGAAAAGUAGUGUUAACAGGAGCAAAAGUUAGACAAGAAAUUUAUGAAGCAUUUGAUAAUAUCUACCCUAUUUUGAAGAGCUUUAAAAAACAAUGAUUUUAUUUUUUAUUACAUGUUAAAGUUAUGUAUUAAAUGGACAAAACUAAGGAAUUAAACAAAUUCUAUGAAAUAAAUAGACUCAAAAAUAUUUUUAUUAAAAUAAUUAUUAAAAAAAAUAAUACGUUUAAUUUUUAAUUUUAUUAAACAAUUUUUAAAAGCAGAAGCUUCCAAAUUUAUUAUUAUGGAAUAAUAUGAAAAAUAUAGACUACUUGGAAAGCAAUUUACCUUCUUGAUGAUAUGGUACUUUGAUUGAAAGGUAGUUAUUAUUCUUUAGAAUUGAACUAUUAAUUUAUAUAAUGUAUAUAUUGUUAAAAUUUAAUAACAAAUUUCAUUUUAUUUUAUGCAUAAAAUAUGAUCUGUAUUUUUUCAAUUAAUAGAAAUAACUAAUACCUCAUUAUGCAAAUAAUUGUAAAGAGAAGAAAGAAAUCCAUCUAUAGAAUAAGAAAGAAUAAUAACAAUUUUUAUGUUUGUAAGAUUAUCUGUAUUCUUAAAAAUGUUUUAACUCUGUAAAAAUUAGAUAACAUUUUGAUACAUUGUAAUAUGAAUUAACUAUUAAAUACAAAAUAAGAAUUGUACAAAUAUUAAAACAUUUUUAUUAUAAAAAUAUACAUUUUUUUGUGACAAGAA